rnacentral:SRP_RNA from 1 species
GGGCUGGCGGCGGACGUUACCCUCGCCAACCGGGUCAGGUCCGGAAGGAAGCAGCCCUAACGAUCAGGUGACGGGUCGUUCGCCAGCCUUUU